CGCGGAUCUUCCAGAGAUUAGAGUUUGAUCCUGGCUCAGGAUGAACGCUAGCGGCAGGCUUAAUACAUGCAAGUCGUGGGGCAGCAGGGGUGUAGCAAUACACUCGCUGGCGACCGGCAAACGGGUGCGGAACACGUACGCAACCUACCCAAAACUGGGGAAUAGCCCGGGGAAACCCGGAUUAAUACCUCGUAACAUAAUGAAGUGGCAUCACUUUAUUAUUAUAGCUCCGGCGGUUUUGGAUGGGCGUGCGGCUGAUUAGGUAGUUGGCGGGGUAACGGCCCACCAAGCCUACGAUCAGUAACUGGUGUGAGAGCACGACCAGUCACACGGGCACUGAGACACGGGCCCGACUCCUACGGGAGGCAGCAGUAAGGAAUAUUGGUCAAUGGACGCAAGUCUGAACCAGCCAUGCCGCGUGGAGGAUGAAGGCCCUCUGGGUUGUAAACUUCUUUUAUAGGGGACGAAACCCUGGUAUUCCUACCAGAUUGACGGUACCCUAGGAAUAAGCACCGGCUAACUCCGUGCCAGCAGCCGCGGUAAUACGGAGGGUGCAAGCGUUAUCCGGAUUCACUGGGUUUAAAGGGUGCGUAGGAGGGCAGGUAAGUCA
rnacentral:rRNA from 1 species